rnacentral:rRNA from 1 species
AUUGAACGCUGGCGGCAGGCCUAACACAUGAAAGUCGAACGAGUGGCGGACGGGUGAGUAAUGUCUGGGAAACUGACUGAUGGAGGGGGAUAACUACUGGAAACGGUAGCUAAUAACGCAUACAAUCAGAUGUGCCCAGAUGGGAUUAGCUAGUUGGUGGGGUAACGGCUCACCAAGGGGACGAUCCCUAGAUGGUAUGAGAGGAUGACCAGCCCCACUGGAACUGAGACACGGUCCAGACUCCUACGGGAGGCAGCAGUGGGGAAUAUUGCACAAUGGGCGCAAGCCGUAUGCAGCCAUGCCGCGUGUAUGAAGAAGGCCUUCGGGUUGUAAAGUACUUUCAGCGGGGAGGCGUUACCCGCAGAAGAAGCACCGGCUAACUCCGUGCCAGCCGCCGCGGUAAUAC